AUCUAUAUAAUUCAUUUUAGCAUUUCCCACAUUCAUAUUGAUGUUAAUGAAUCUAGAUCUAGAUUCAUUAACAUCAAUAUGAAUGUGGGAAAUGCUAGAAUAAAUUAUGUUGUGAAGCGG
rnacentral:misc_RNA from 1 species